GAUGAACGCUAGCGGCAGGCUUAAUACAUGCAAGUCGAGGGGCAGCAUGGGUAGCAAUACCUGAUGGCGACCGGCAAACGGGUGCGGAACACGUACGCAACUUUCCCAGAACUGGUGAAUAGCCCUCCGAAAGGAGGAUUAAUACACCGUAAGAUAAAGAUGUGGCAUCACAUUUUUAUUAUAGCUCCGGCGGUUUUGGAUGGGCGUGCGCCUGAUUAGGUAGUUGGCGGGGUAACGGCCCACCAAGCCUACGAUCAGUAACUGGUGUGAGAGCACGACCAGUCACACGGGCACUGAGACACGGGCCCGACUCCUACGGGAGGCAGCAGUAAGGAAUAUUGGUCAAUGGACGCAAGUCUGAACCAGCCAUGCCGCGUGAAGGAUGAAGGCCCUCUGGGUUGUAAACUUCUUUUAUCUGGGACGAAAAAGGGGCAUUCUUGCUCAACUGACGGUACCAGAGGAAUAAGCACCGGCUAACUCCGUGCCAGCAGCCGCAGUAACAC
rnacentral:rRNA from 1 species